rnacentral:lncRNA from 1 species
GCUACACUCACAAAUAAAGUUUAAGGGGAAUAACAACUAACUCUAUAGCCAAUCCGUAAAUUAAAUGACCAUCAAUGCGACGUGAAGAAAUGUAGAGCCGGAGUGCGACACACUAGAACUAGGAACUCCUGGUUAGCUUCACUUUGUUGCAACUUAGCCCAGAACCAGAGCCAGUAUGUACCCCUGAACAAUACCUGCAAGAAAGUUUUCAGUUGGCAUUUAUCAAAUACAACAUCGUUCCUAGUGAGCCAAAUUGCCCAACAUAAAGAUCCUGCCCUAAUCAACAAGUUUAUGUUUUGUUUCUAUCCCUCCUAUUUGAUCCAAUGAUGAAAUAGAUCAUUUAUAUUUGAAGGUGGAACAAUACCAAACACUAUAUGUAGAGCAUUCCAUAGAAACUUGGCAUAAUGACAAUCAAAGAAAAGAUGGUUAAUGGUUUCCGCAUAACUAAAAAACUGUAGUAUUUGCUCCCAUUCCAAUAUCUGCUAGCUAGGUUGUCUUUCAUUAAAAUGACCCCAUUUUUAAAUACCACAUAAAGAUUUUAAUCUUUGAGUGGUAACUUUUUUUGCCAAAUUUCCUGUGUAACUUUAACUCCACUAUUGAUGAGAUGUCUAUACAUUGAAUGCACAGUGAAUAAAGAACCAUUUUUGUGUAGGGAUCAGAUAAAAACAUCUCUCCCAUCCUGGAGAUUCAUGUUCGCAAUUCUAGCCACUAGGUUGUGCCAUUCCAACAAUUUAUUUCCCACUAAUGAUCUCCUAAAUGAGAUAUUAAGUGGUACUAUGCCAAGAACUUCAGCAACAGUGGCAUGUUUCUUCCGAACAAUGUUAUAUAAGUCAGGAUAUUGUGAUUUUAACACUUGGUUUCCAAGUCAUAUGUCUUCCCAAAUCGAGCCUAUGUUCCUGACUUCAACUUCAAUUGUCCUAAUUUAAUAAAGUGGUCUUUCACUCCCAUCAAACCCAUCCACAACUGUGAAUCCCCAGGUUUCUUACACACUUGUCCUAGUGGUUUAUUUUUGAGGUAUUUAUUUCUUAUCAACUCAUGCCACAUUCCAUCUUCAUUGCAUAACUUAAAUAGCCAUUUGCUUAGCAAGCAUUUAUUUUGAUAACUUAAAUAGCCAUUUGCUUAGCAAGAAUUUAUUUUGAAUAUCUAGAUUCAUGAUCCCUAGUCCACCCUGAUCUUUAGGUUAGCAUAGUAAUUCCCAUUUAGCAAGUCUGUACUUCUUCUUGUGCUGAUCAUUUUGCCCAAAAAAAAAACCUUGAUCUGUAGUACUCUAUUUUUUUAGACUCCUCUUGGGGCCUAAAAAAAGAGCAUGCACAUAGGUAAACUAAACAAAACCGAACUUAUCAACACCAAUCACCUACCAACUAAGAGUAAUUUACCUUCCAUCCACUUAGCCUUUUUUUUCAAAUCUUUCAUCAAUCGUUUUCCAAUCCUUAUUGUACAAUUUUCUAUAAUGCAUUCGAAUGCCCAGAUAUUGAAAAGGAUAUGAGCCUAGUUUACAACCAAAGAGUUUUGAGUACGUAGGCUCAUGCUCCCUAGCUUGCCCAAAGCAGAAGAUUUCACUUUUGUGAAAAUUUAUUUUGAGACCAGAUAAUUGCUCAAACAUGCAUAGUAGCAACUUCAUGUUUUUUGCCUAUUCAAUAUCAUGGUCCAAAAAAUCACAGUGUCAUCCACAUAUUGCAAGAUAGACAAACCAUCCUCUACCAUAAGUGUAUCCUAGUCAAUAUCAUGGUCCAAAAAAAUCACAGUGUUAUCCACAGUGUCAGCUAAAAUGCUGUUAAACCUUAGCCUAUCCUUAAAUAGGCUUACACUACACAUUCCCC